ACUCCUACGGGAGGCAGCAGUGGGGAAUUUUCCGCAAUGGGCGCAAGCCUGACGGAGCGACGCCGCGUGAGUGAAGAAGGCCUUCGGGUUGUAAAGCUCUGUCCUAUGGGAAGAAGGAAGUGACGGUACCAUAGGAGGAAGCCACGGCUAACUACGUGCCAGCAGCCGCGGUAACACGUAGGUGGCAAGCGUUGUCCGGAAUUACUGGGCGUAAAGGGCACGCAGGCGGAUAUUUAAGUCAGAUCUGUAAUCUGUAGGCUUAACCAACAGCUCGGGUCUGAAACUGGAUAUCUUGAGGAUAGGAGAGGACAGUAGAAUUCCUAGUGUAGCGGUGAAAUGCGUAGAUAUUAGGAGGAAUACCAGUGGCGAAGGCGGCUGUCUGGCCUAUCACUGACGCUGAGGUGCGAAAGCACGGGUAGCAAACAGGAUUAGAUACCCUGGUAGUC
rnacentral:rRNA from 1 species